rnacentral:rRNA from 1 species
UACGGAGGAUGCGAGCGUUAUCCGGAUUUAUUGGGUUUAAAGGGUGCGUAGGUUGUUUUUUAAGUCAGCGGUCAAAUCGUGGGGCUCAACCCCAUCCAGCCGUUGAAACUGGGGAUCUAGAGUGUGCGAGAGGUAUGCGGAAUGCGUGGUGUAGCGGUGAAAUGCAUAGAUAUCACGCAGAACUCCGAUUGCGAAGGCAGCAUACCGGCGCGCAACUGACGCUCAUGCACGAAAGCGUGGGUAUCGAACAGG